GUGGGGAAUAUUGGGCAAUGGGCGAAAGCCUGACCCAGCAACGCCGCGUGAAGGAAGAAGGUCUUCGGAUCGUAAACUUCUAUCCUUGGUGAAGAUAAUGACGGUAGCCGAGAAGGAAGCCCCGGCUAACUACGUGCCAGCAGCCGCGGUAAUACGUAGGGGGCAAGCGUUGUCCGGAAUGAUUGGGCGUAAAGGGCGCGUAGGCGGCCUGGUAAGUCUGGAGUGAAAGUCCUGCUUUUAAGGUGGGAAUUGCUUUGGAUACUGUCGGGCUUGAGUGCAGGAGAGGUAAGUGGAAUUCCCGGUGUAGCGGUGAAAUGCGUAGAGAUCGGGGGGAACACCAGUGGCGAAGGCGACUUACUGGACUGUAACUGACGCUGAGGCGCGAAAGUGUGGGGAGCAAACAGGAUUAGAUACCCCUGUAGUCC
rnacentral:rRNA from 1 species